rnacentral:rRNA from 1 species
UGGUGACCUCUGCUCAAUGAGAUAUUUAAUAGCCGCAGUACCUUGACUGUGCAAAGGUAGCAUAAUCAAUUGACUUAUAAUUGAAGUCUAAAAUGAAUGGGGUUAUGGGGGUUAACUAUAUAAUUAAUAUUUAAUAAAUUUACUAAACAGGUGCAAAAACCUGUAAUAAUAUAAUAGACGAGAAGACCCYAGAAAUUUUUAUACAAUUAUUUAUGUAAUUUUUUUUUGGUGGGGGCAACAACAUAACAAGUAAUUUAUGUUAGGACUAGAAAAUAAUUAUAAGAAUGAAUAAAUUACUCUAGGGAUAACAGCAUGAUUUAAAAGAGUUUGUGACCUCGAUGUUGGACUAGGAAGUUUUAUGUUUAAAAAAUUUAAAAU